rnacentral:rRNA from 1 species
UACGAAGGGGGCUAGCGUUGCUCGGAAUUACUGGGCGUAAAGCGCACGUAGGCGGAUUGUUAAGUCGGGGGUGAAAUCCUGGAGCUCAACUCCAGAACUGCCUUCGAUACUGGCGAUCUCGAGUUCGGGAGAGGUGAGUGGAACUGCGAGUGUAGAGGUGAAAUUCGUAGAUAUUCGCAAGAACACCAGUGGCGAAGGCGGCUCACUGGCCCGGUACUGACGCUGAGGUGCGAAAGCGUGGGGAUCAAACAGG